rnacentral:rRNA from 1 species
AUGCACCAUGUUAACAUCUCAUCCUACACCCCAUUCAAGCUCUCCAUCGACUCGGGAAACUACUCGAAGUGGUGCCACCUCUUCUGGUACGUACUGUGCAAGUACCGUGUCGAGGACCACGUCCUGGAGGAGGUGGAGCCGCUGCAAGCAGACGCGAUGUGGCGCAGCGACGACAUCACGAUCGUCCUGUGGGUGUACGGGACGAUCUCCGAUGAACUCUACGACACCAUUCAGUCGCCGGAGAGCACCGCGUUCCAUCUCUGGCAGCAGCUCGAGAUCUUCUUCCGCGACAACGCCGCCGGCCGCGCCGUCCACAUCGGCGCCGACUUCCGCGCCACGAUCCAAGGCGACAUGAUGGUGGCCCAGUACUGUCGUCGUCUCCAGCAGCUAUCCUCCGCCAUGGCCGACAUGGGGGAGCCGGUCACCGACUGCUCGCUCACGCUCCAGCUGAUCCGCGGGCUGAACCGGCGCUUCCACGUCAUGGCGACUCUCCUUCCCAUGCAGGAACCGUUCCCGACUUUCCUCCAGGCCCGGUCACGGCUGUUCUCGAAGAGAUCGCCAUCACCGAGCGCGAGCGGGCCGUGGGCGCCACCGCACUCGCCGUUGGACACGGCGGCGGCUCCUCCGGUGGGUCGUCCUCCGGUGAUCGCGCGCCUCCUCCAUCACCAACCGACAAGGGCAAGUCUCCCUCCACUUGGAGUCCGUCGGCCGAUCGGCAGCGCGGUGGCCGCGGUCGUGGCCGUGGGCGUGGCCGCGGAAUGCCCGACGGUGGUCGCGGGCGUGGCCAGCCUGGGCAAACGCCCUAGAUGGGGUACUUCGCCCCGUUCGGCACCCCGCUACCCUCGCCCCAACAGUGGCGUGCUCCCUGGACUCCGCCGAACGCCGCCGGCGUCCUAG